rnacentral:lncRNA from 1 species
AAGGGGGUAGUGAGAAGUUGUUCCAUUUAGAACACUGAGGCCCUGGCUAAGACUCCUUGUUCCAGGGAUGGACAGAGAAACAUGAAAUGCCUGCUCCACAAUGCUAUGUUGAACAACCAGAGGAAGUUAUAGGAUCUCACAGGAAUAGGAAAGCCAAGCCCAGAGAAAGCAGAUCCCUGUCACUUGCACUUUUAAGAAAAACUGAAGUUUUGUCCACCUUCCCUAUACAUACCUCCAAAGAGGGUAGCCUGAGACUGUCCAUGUAAAGCACCUCUUAAGUGUUCAUUUUGGGUUCACGAUUUGUGAAGAUCUA